rnacentral:rRNA from 1 species
UACAGAGGGGGCAAGCGUUGUUCGGAAUUACUGGGCGUAAAGGGCGCGUAGGCGGCCUGCUAAGUCGAACGUGAAAUCCCCGGGCUCAACCCGGGAACUGCGUCCGAUACUGGUUGGCUUGAAUCCGGGAGAGGGAUGCGGAAUUCCAGGUGUAGCGGUGAAAUGCGUAGAUAUCUGGAGGAACACCGGUGGCGAAGGCGACAUCCUGGACCGGUAUUGACGCUGAGGCGCGAAAGCCAGGGGAGCAAACGGG